CAGUAGCCGCGGUAAUACGUAGGUGGCAAGCGUUGUCCGGAAUUAUUGGGCGUAAAGGGCUCGCAGGCGGUUUCUUAAGUCUGAUGUGAAAGCCCCCGGCUCAACCGGGGAGGGUCAUUGGAAACUGGGAAACUUGAGUGCAGAAGAGGAGAGUGGAAUUCCACGUGUAGCGGUGAAAUGCGUAGAGACGUGGAGGAACACCAGUGGCGAAGGCGACUCUCUGGUCUGUAACUGACGCUGAGGAGCGAAAGCGUGGGGAGCGAACAGGAUUAGAUACCCGGGUAGUCCCUGUCUCUUAUAC
rnacentral:rRNA from 1 species